GACGAACGCUGGCGGCGUGCUUAACACAUGCAAGUCGAGCGGAAAGGCCUUUCGGGGUACUCGAGCGGCGAACGGGUGAGUAACACGUGAGUAAUCUGCCCUGUGCUCUGGGAUAGCCACCGGAAACGGUGAUUAAUACCGGGUAUGACCAGCCUACGCAUGUGGUGUUGGUGGAAAGUUUUUUCGGCGCAGGAUGUGCUCGCGGCCUAUCAGCUUGUUGGUGAGGUAAUGGCUCACCAAGGCUUUGACGGGUAGCCGGCCUGAGAGGGUGACCGGUCACACUGGGACUGAGACACGGCCCAGACUCCUACGGGAGGCAGCAGUGGGGAAUAUUGGACAAUGGGCGGAAGCCUGAUCCAGCAACGCCGCGUGAGGGAUGACGGCCUUCGGGUUGUAAACCUCUUUCAGUACCGACGAAGCGCAAGUGACGGUAGGUACAGAAGAAGGACCGGCCAACUACGUGCCAGCCGCCGCCGUAAUAC
rnacentral:rRNA from 1 species